rnacentral:rRNA from 1 species
UACAGAGGGGGCAAGCGUUAUUCGGAAUUAUUGGGCGUAAAGGGCGCGUAGGCGGCCUGACAAGUGGAAGGUGAAAUCCCUCGGCUCAACUGAGGAACUGUCCUCCAAACUGUUUGGCUUGAGACCAGGAGAGGUGAGUGGAAUUCCCAGUGUAGCGGUGAAAUGCGUAGAUAUUGGGAGGAACACCAGUAGCGAAGGCGGCUCACUGGACUGGUACUGACGCUGAGGCGCGAAAGCGUGGGGAGCAAACGGG